UACGGAGGGGGCUAGCGUUGUUCGGAAUUACUGGGCAUAAAGCGUACGUAGGCGGCUUUGUAAGUUAGAGGUGAAAGCCCGGGGCUCAACUCCGGAAUUGCCUUUAAGACUGCAUCGCUUGAAUCAUGGAGAGGUGAGUGGAAUUCCGAGUGUAGAGGUGAAAUUCGUAGAUAUUCGGAAGAACACCAGUGGCGAAGGCGACUCACUGGACAUGUAUUGACGCUGAGGUACGAAAGCGUGGGGAGCAAACAGG
rnacentral:rRNA from 1 species